CCUACGGGUGGCAGCAGUGAGGAAUAUUGGUCAAUGGGCGGGAGCCUGAACCAGCCAAGCAGCGUGAGGGAAGACGGUCCUGCGGGUUGUAAACUUCUUUUGUAAGGGAAUAAAGGCAGGGACGAGUCCCUGGUUGUGUGUACCUUAAGAAUACGCAUCGGCUAACUCCGUGCCAGCAGCCGCGGUAAUACGGAGGAUCCGAGCGUUAUCCGGAUUUAUUGGGUUUAAAGGGAGCGUAGGUGGGUUGUUAAGUCAGUUGUGAAAGUUUGCGGGUCAACCGUCAAAUUGCAAUUGAUACUGGCAGUCUUGAGUACAGUAGAGGUAGGCGGAAUUCGUGGUGUAGCGGUGAAAUGCUUAGAUAUCACGAAGAACCCCGAUUGCGAAGGCAGCUUACU
rnacentral:rRNA from 1 species